rnacentral:rRNA from 1 species
GACAGAGGGGGCAAGCGUUUUCCGGAGUUACUGGGCGUAAAGGGCGCGGAGGCGGUCUGCGGCGUCGGCGCUGAAAGCGCCCCGCUUAACGGGGCGAGGCGUGCCGAUACGCGCAGACUUGAGGCGAGCAGAGGGUGGUGGAAUUCCGGGUGGAGCGGUGAAAUGCGUAGAGAUCCGGAGGAACGCCAGUGGGGAAGCCGGCCACCUGGGCUCGUCCUGACGCUGCGGCGCGACAGCGUGGGGAGCAAACCGG